rnacentral:rRNA from 1 species
CAGGCUUACACAUGCAAGUCGAGGGGUAUAGUUCUUCGGAGCUAGAGACCGGCGCACGGGCGCUUAACGCGUAUGCAAUCUACCUUUUACAGAGGGAUAGCCCUGAGAAAUUUGGAUUAAUACCUCAUAGUAUGUGAGAAUCGCAUGGUUCUCACAUUAAAGUCACAACGGUAAAAGAUGAGCAUGCGUCCCAUUAGCUAGAUGGUAAGGUAACGGCUUACCAUGGCAACGAUGGGUAGGGGUCCUGAGAGGGAGAUCCCCCACACUGGUACUGAGACACGGACCAGACUCCUACGGGAGGCAGCAGUGAGGAAUAUUGGACAAUGGGCGCAAGCCUGAUCCAGCCAUGCCGCGUGCAGGAUGACGGUCCUAUGGAUUGUAAACUGCUUUUGUACAGGAAGAAACACUCCCUCGUGAGGGAGCUUGACAGUACUGUAAGAAUAAGGAUCGGCUAACUCCGUGCCAGCAGCCGCGGUAAUACGGAGGAUCCAAGCGUUAUCCGGAAUCAUUGGGUUUAAAGGGUCCGUAGGCGGUUUAAUAAGUCAGUGGUGAAAGCCCAUCGCUCAACGGUGGAACGGCCAUUGAUACUGUUAAACUUGAAUUAUUAGGAAGUAACUAGAAUAUGUAGUGUAGCGGUGAAAUGCUUAGAGAUUACAUGGAAUACCAAUUGCGAAGGCAGGUUACUACUAAUGGAUUGACGCUGAUGGACGAAAGCGUGGGUAGCGAACAGGAUUAGAUACCCUGGUAGUCCACGCCGUAAACGAUGGAUACUAGCUGUUGGGAGCAAUCUCAGUGGCUAAGCGAAAGUGAUAAGUAUCCCACCUGGGGAGUACGUUCGCAAGAAUGAAACUCAAAGGAAUUGACGGGGGCCCGCACAAGCGGUGGGGCAUGUGGUUUAAUUCGAUGAUACGCGAGGAACCUUACCAGGCUUAAAUGUAGUUUGACCGA